GAUGAACGCUGGCGGCGUGCCUAAUACAUGCAAGUCGAGCGAACAGACGAGGAGCUUGCUCCUCUGACGUUAGCGGCGGACGGGUGAGUAACACGUGGAUAACCUUCCUAUAAGACUGGGAUAACUUCGGGAAACCGGAGCUAAUACCGGAUAAUAUAUUGAACCGCAUGGUUCAAUAGUGAAAGACGGUUUUGCUGUCACUUAUAGAUGGAUCCACGCCGCAUUAGCUAGUUGGUAAGGUAACGGCUUACCAAGGCGACGAUGCGUAGCCGACCUGAGAGGGUGAUCGGCCACACUGGAACUGAGACACGGUCCAGACUCCUACGGGAGGCAGCAGUAGGGAAUCUUCCGCAAUGGGCGAAAGCCUGACGGAGCAACGCCGCGUGAGUGAUGAAGGUCUUCGGAUCGUAAAACUCUGUUAUUAGGGAAGAACAAAUGUGUAAGUAACUAUGCACGUCUUGACGGUACCUAAUCAGAAAGCCACGGCUAACUACGUG
rnacentral:rRNA from 1 species